UUGAACGCUGGCGGCAGGCCUAACCCAUGCAAGUCGAACGGUAACAGGAAGCAGCUUGCUGCUUCGCUGACGAGUGGCGGACGGGUGAGUAAUGUCUGGGAAGCUGCCUGAUGGAGGGGGAUAACUACUGGAAACGGUAGCUAAUACCGCAUAAUGUCGCAAGACCAAAGGGGGGGACCUUCGGGCCUCUUGCCAUCGGAUGUGCCCAGAUGGGAUUAGCUUGUUGGUGGGGUAACGGCUCACCAAGGCGACGAUCCCUAGCUGGUCUGAGAGGAUGACCAGCCACACUGGAACUGAGACACGGUCCAGACUCCUACGGGAGGCAGCAGUGGGGAAUAUUGCACAAUGGGCGCAAGCCUGAUGCAGCCAUGCCGCGUGUAUGAAGAAGGCCUUCGGGUUGUAAAGUACUUUCAGCGGGGAGGAAGGGAGUAAAGUUAAUACCUUUGCUCAUUGACGUUACCCGCAGAAGAAGCACCGGCUAACUCCGUG
rnacentral:rRNA from 1 species